GGGCGCAGCCUGAUCCAGCAAUGCCGCGUGCAGGAUGAAGGCCUUCGGGUUGUAAACUGCUUUUGUACGGAACGAAAAGUCUUGGGUUAAUACCCGGGGAUCAUGACGGUACCGUAAGAAUAAGCACCGGCUAACUACGUGCCAGCAGCCGCGGUAAUACGUAGGGUGCAAGCGUUAAUCGGAAUUACUGGGCGUAAAGCGUGCGCAGGCGGUUUUGUAAGACAGAGGUGAAAUCCCCGGGCUCAACCUGGGAACUGCCAUUGUGACUGCAAGGCUGGAGUUUGGCAGAGGGA
rnacentral:rRNA from 1 species